rnacentral:rRNA from 1 species
CCCAGACUCCUACGGGAGGCAGCAGUGAGGAAUAUUGGUCAAUGGGCGCGGGCCUGAACCAGCCAAGUCGCGUGAGGGAAGACGGUCCCAUGGAUUGUAAACCUCUUUUGUCGGGGAGCAAAAGACGCCACGCGUGGCGUUCCGAGAGUACCCGAAGAAAAAGCAUCGGCUAACUCCGUGCCAGCAGCCGCGGUAAUACGGAGGAUGCGAGCGUUAUCCGGAUUUAUUGGGUUUAAAGGGUGCGCAGGCGGAAGAUCAAGUCGGGGGUAAAAUUGGGAGGCUCAACCUCUUCGAGCCGUUGAAACUGGUUUUCUUGAGUGAGCGAGAAGUAUGCGGAAUGCGUGGUGUAGCGGUGAAAUGCAUAGAUAUCACGCAGAACUCCGAUUGCGAAGGCAGCAUACCGGCGCUCAACUGACGCUCAUGCACGAAAGUGUGGGUAUCGAACAGGAUUAGAUACCCUCGUAC